rnacentral:rRNA from 1 species
GACGAACGCUGGCGGCGUGCUUAACACAUGCAAGUCGAACGGAAAGGCCCUGCUUUUGUGGGGUGCUCGAGUGGCGAACGGGUGAGUAACACGUGAGUAACCUGCCCUUGUCUUUGGGAUAACUUCAGGAAACUGGGGCGAAUACCGGGUAGGAGCUCCUGCUGCAUGGGGGGGGUUGGAAAGUUUCGGCGUUUGGGGAUGGACUCGCGGCUUAUCCGCUUGAUGGUGGGGUAGUGGCUUACCAAGGCUGUGACGGGUAGCCGGCCUGAGAGGGUGAACGGCCACAUGGGGACUGAGAUACGGACCAGACUCCUACGGGCGGCAGCAGUGGGGAACAUUGCACAAUGGGCGGAAGCCUGAUGCAGCAACGCCGCGUGCGGGAUGACGGCCUUCGGGUUGUAAACCGCUUUCGCCUGUGACGAAGCGUGAGUGACGGUAAUGGGUAAAGAAGCACCGGCUAACUACGUG